AAUUUUAGCCUGACGCUUCAGUCUUGCACGCGUUUCCACGGCGAAUAGUUCGAGUGAGCAAAGUGCCGAAUUUUCCCCUUGUAAACUGUGACAACCUCCCCAGCGAUGGCCGAGACGGUCGAGGAAACCUACGAGACGGAAGUCCGGCGAAAAGUCAUCCGGACAAGCCUCAAAAUCGAAGAAACGUCGUCGACGACGAAAACAACAACAAUGACAACGCCAGCCAAACUCUAUGGCAAAGAUCUCAGUGAAUACGACGAAAUAGAUGUAGACGAACUUUUGAAUAAGUUAUCAGCUGAAGAGAUUAACAUUCUAGCCAAAGAAGUAGACCCUGAUGACACAUUUUUGCCACCCUCACAGAGGUGUAGUUAUGACUGUGAGAAGGAAGCAACGGGGCCCCUAAACCGCAAACAACUCAUCGAACACAUAAAUAAACAAGCAAUUGAGACUCCCGACAAGCCCGAACUCAAACCAUAUGUACCUGGAACAGUCCGCGGCAAAAAAUGGAUACCGCCACCGCCCCCUGUCAAGGAACAAGAAGCUGACGAGCAAAUAGCUGUAGAUUUAGGCGACGAGUACGAGCAAGCUUUAUCUUUAGCCACACAGGAGGAAAUUAUUGAUUUGGCGGCUAUUUUGGGUUUCCAUUCGAUGAUGAAUCAGGACCAGUACCACGCAUCACUUCUCAAUAAGGGUCAGCCGGUCGGGUUGGGCUGGGACGGCAUCACGAAAGCCUCAAAACAGAAAAUAUACCCUAUGGACCCGCCCAAUAUGACGGAUCCAGACGAAACAAUAAAAAAAGUUCAGGAUGAUGACCCCAAAUUCAUCGACCUCAAUUGGAACAAUAUCAAGAAUAUAUCAGACGAGAAGUUUGACAGUUUGUUUGAAGCGUUGGAGAAUAAUACGCAUUUGGAGACGAUGUCGUUAGCGAACGUCGGAUUGACUGAUCGAGGGGCCGAGAAGUUGGCGCAAGCUUUAGAAAAAAAUAAUACUGUGAGGGUCGUUAAUGUAGAAACUAAUCUGAUUUCACCUAGUGGGAUCGUGCGGCUGAUUAAGUCGCUGUUGAAGACGAAGGCGGUGGAGGAGUUUAGAGCGUCGAAUCAGAGGUCGCAGGUGUUGGGUAACAAGAUAGAGAUGGAGAUCACGCAGUUAAUAGAAAAGAACCCGACGUUAUUAAGGUUGGGCUUGCAUUUAGAAUACAACGAUGCCCGUCAUCGUAUCGCCUCACAUUUACAACGUAAUAUUGACACAAAUUGCCGCAGUGUGAAAGCGAAUUACCGGAUCACUCUCGGUGCGGACGGCACCGCUAAAAUCGUGAAAACUGAUUAAUCUUGUCACCAGAUGGCAACGCCGCCUGUCUCGGCUGGGGGCGACCAGCUCAUAGUGUGCUGUGGUCGCGAUUACGUCGUAAACGUCGCAUGGGUCUGCUUCCCCGCAACUAUAUGGUGGGUUAUCUGACCUAAUCUUACGUCUUUCGCUUCUGAAGCCACAUGCAGUGUCAGUCCAGCCGUGCUUGAGUCAGUCUUUGCUAGGAAAAAAUUAAGCUAAGUUUAAUUAUGUCAGACUAUAUAUUUUCUUUAUGUGUCGUUAUUUUAUAGUUUUAACGAGAUAUUUUAUCGAGUUCUCCUCUGUCAAGGUUUGUUGUUUAUCUAGAGAUAUAGCAAAGUAUUGGAUACUAAAAACCAAACAGAUUGAUUAUUUAGUUUAUCACUGCCAAAAGUUCGACAAUUGCUUUUAGUAAUGUAAAAACCCUACUUGUGAUAAACUUAUUGGAGGCGAACUAAAUGUAUUUUAAGACAGUUGUAACCUAUUUUAAUAUAAUUUUUAGUAUUUACGAUUUUUCUGUAAAUAUUGUUUGCAUUGUGGUAGCUUAAUGCAUCAUCUAAGACUAAAAUUCAUCACAUGGAGCAAGGUUGUGACUUACGGACCAAACGAAUCAAAAUUGUGCUCCCGCUUUCCUCAACUCAUUCACAUUUUCAGGACUUCGCACUUGCAUUAAAUGUAGCCGUAGUAUUGUAAUUUACAUAAAAUAAAAUGUUGAACAACUGGAA